CCAAAGGCUCUUUUAAGAGCCACCACCUAGCCACUAAAGAGAGCUGU
rfam:Cariama cristata contig80202, whole genome shotgun sequence.